AUUGAACGCUGGCGGCAGGCCUAACACAUGCAAGUCGAGCGAGCGGCGGACGGGUGCGUAAUGUCUGGGAAACUGCCUGAUGGAGGGGGAUAACUACUGGAAACGGUAGCUAAUACCGCAUACCAUCAGAUGUGCCCAGAGGGGAUUAGCUAGUAGGUGGGGUAACGGCUCAACUAGGCGACGAUCCCUAGCUGGUCUGAGAGGAUGACCAGCCAAACGGGAACGGGGAUACGGUCCAGACUCCUACGGGAGGCAGCAGUGGGGAAUAUUGCACAAUGGGCGCAAGCCUGAUGCAGCCAUGCCGCGUGAGUGAAGAAGGCCUGCGGGUUGUAAAGCACUUUAAGCGGGGAGGCGUUACCCGCAGAAAAAGCACCGGCUAACUCCGUGCCAGCAGCAGCGGUAAUUC
rnacentral:rRNA from 1 species